CGGGAUGUAGCGCAGUUUGGUAGCGCACCUCGUUCGGGACGAGGGGGUCGCAGGUUCAAAUCCUGUCAUCCCGA
rnacentral:tRNA from 3 species